UGCACAGAGUUCCUAGAAAUACGACCGAGGCGCACCUCUGGGCCAGCUCUGUGGGACUUCUGUGAUGGCCUUAAUAAUUUGCAGCUGAACUUCAACACAUCUUUCUAUAUGACACCCAAUCUAGGAACAUUAACGUGCCACAAGGAAAGGACAGGAAUUGUCCCUGAUCCCAAGACCUGCUUUUAGAGCCCUUUUGGUUGAUCUGAUCUGCAAUCAAUACACUAACAAAAUCAGCUUCCUCUCACACAUUUAUUUUAUCACAAAAAGAGGUUGCAUCCAUCAGAGUUUCUUCCAGUCCAGCUCCUGUGCCUGAAUUUUUCUCCAGGACAUGACUUCUACUGCAUUAUUUCUGUAUUUUUGAUGGACAGGUUCAUCACUGAAUACAACCAGUAAUAAAUUCCUCUUAGAUUUUAGGAUUAAAAGU